rnacentral:ncRNA from 1 species
CUGAUUAAUGCGCUCAGGGUGGACGAAAUAUUUCGGCCCUUUAUCCGAAGGGAUAGCGCAUAAUAGGUCAG